CACCAAAAAUGGAGCCCCCACGCAGCAGCGGUUCCAUUUUGCCGCUGCGUGAUUUACCUCAUCGCCAGAAAACUUGACACCAUGCCAUGAUCUUGAACGCUACAUGGAAGAAACUCCGGUGUGCUCGAACCUAUAUCAACACCCCACUGAUUGUUGUCGUCUUCGCUGCUGUACAGUGAGUGUGGAAUUGGCGCUGCUCCGAUGAUCGCAGACCCUGUCAUCACCCAUAGUCGAUGUCGGCCACCGUCAACUUCGUCUCCUGCUACAACUAACCCUGAUCAAUGCUGCUGCCGGUUACCGUUCACAUUCCCAGUGAUCCAGGCCUCCAGUCAUCAAACCCUUUGAUCAUGAUAUAGCCCUUGAUGUUGUACACACCUCUGUAAAUCAGUUUGGUCAUAGGACCAGCGAUACCGGAGUUAUUGAUAUCAUCAUGCUUGCUGCUCCUGCAUCCUUGCAGCAGCAUUGUUUCCGAUUGGCAUGCAUGUUCCAUAAGAUCCUUUCCUCCAAUCAUCAAAUCCUUUGAAAAUGAUAUUCGUCAUGAAGUUGAACAUGUCCUUGCCAAAUUUCAUCACCAUAGAGCCUAACACAAAAGAGUUAUAAAUGUUCUUGUGCAUGAUGUCCCUGCUGCCCCGCAUUAGCAUUCCUGUUGGUUGGCACUAUCGCUCCAGUGACCGUGUCCUUCAACCAUAGUGUGUUUUGUACCUUUGCACACACCCCUGAGAAAUUCCAUGGUAAUAGAAUUCAAGAUGAAAGAGAUAUCAUUGUCUUUUCGGUUUUCUGUUGUCUCUGCUAUUUCAGCAGUGUUGCGCCUCUGUUUGGUAGUGAUGUUCCCCAUAAUACAUUAGUAAAAUCAUCAAACCAUUCAUACAGCAUAUGUGUCCUAUCCUUGCACAUGCCUCUGCAAAGUUUCAUGGCUAUAGGAUCAAAUAUGGAAGAGAUAUGAUCCUAUCUUUUGCUCACUGUCCCUGCUGCCCCACAGCAGAGUUCCAGCUGGUUGGCAUGCAUAUUCCAAAAUGUUCCAACAUUCCGGUGACUGUGUCCUUCGACCACAAUAUGUAUUAUAUUGUUGCACAUGUCCAUGACCAUAGGAUUAAAGAUAAAAGAGAAAUGUUUCUA